AAAAUGAGCCAUCGUGGUAGAGAAUCAGGCCCCUCAUCCAAUUUUCAGCCCUGAGUCAGACCUAGAGGCUCUGAAAUUAAAAAAAAAAAAAAAAAAGGCAUUUUACCAGUUAGGAAGAAUCUUGCAAUAUUUUGCAAGUAUUUACCAGUCUCGUUCUGUUGCCCAGGCUGGGGUGCAAUGGCACGAUCUCAGCUCACUGAAAAAUCUGCCUCCCAAAUUCAAGCAAUUCUUGUGCCUCAGACUUCUGAGUAGCUGGGAUUACAGAGAUAAUUCGUUCUACAAAUCUUAUAAUUCUGCUAGAGGAUGAAAUCUUUGCCGAUUUUUUCAACACAUUUCUUUCCCUCCCGGUUUUUGGUCAGACACCAUUUUAUACUGUUGAAAAUUCACAGUGGAGCUUGUGGCCAGAAAUGCCUUGUAACUUGAUUGCCAAAUACAAAGGGUUAUUGACCUGGUUGGAAAAAUACCGAUUACAUUUCUUCUGUAAAACAAACUUGUGUUUCCAUUACAUUCUCUGUCAGGAGUUCAUCAGUUUCAUUAAGU
rnacentral:sRNA from 1 species